rnacentral:rRNA from 1 species
GGCCGCAGAAUUUUAACUGUGCAAAGGUAGCAUAAGCACUAGUUUUUUAAUUGGAAGCUUGAAUGAAUGGUUGGACGAGGUACUAGCUGUUUCAUAUUAAAAUGUUAGAAUUUUAUUUUUUGGUAAUAAAGCCUAAAUUUUUUUAAAAGACGAGAAGACCCUAUAGAUCUUUAUAAUUUUAUUAUUUUGUUUAUUAAGAUUAGUUUAAUUGAUAUAUUUAAGGUUAUUUUGUUGGGGUGACAUAGAGAUUUAUUUAACUUUCUUUAUUUUUUUUACAUUUAUUUAUGAUUGAUAUUUGAUCCUUUAUUUUAGAUUAUAAAAUUAAGUUACCUUAGGGAUAACAGCGUAAUUUUUUCGGAGAGUUCAUAUCGAUGNNNNNGAUUGCGACCUCGAUGUUGGAUUAA